rnacentral:rRNA from 1 species
ACGCUAGCUACAGGCUUAACACAUGCAAGUCGAGGGCAGCGGGUUGAAAGCUUGCUUUCAAUGCCGGCGACCGGCGCACGGGUGCGUAACGCGUAUCAAACCUGCCUCAUACUCGGGGAUAGCCUUGCGAAAGUAAGAUUAAUACCCGAUGUUGUUGCUUUCUCGCAUGGGAGAGUAACCAAAGAUUUAUCGGUAUGAGAUGGUGAUGCGUCCGAUUAGGUAGUAGGCGGGGUAACGGCCCACCUAGCCUUCGAUCGGUAGGGGUUCUGAGAGGAAGGUCCCCCACACUGGAACUGAGACACGGUCCAGACUCCUACGGGAGGCAGCAGUGAGGAAUAUUGGUCAAUGGGCGAGAGCCUGAACCAGCCAAGUAGCGUGCAGGAUGACGGCCCUCCGGGUUGUAAACUGCUUUUAGUUGGGAAUAAAAAAAGGGACUUGUCCCUUCUUGUAUGUACCUUCAGAAAAAGGACCGGCUAAUUCCGUGCCAGCAGCCGCGGUAAUACGGAAGGUCCAGGCGUUAUCCGGAUUUAUUGGGUUUAAAGGGAGCGUAGGCGGAUUGUUAAGUCAGCGGUUAAAGGGUGUGGCUCAACCAUGCAUUGCCGUUGAAACUGGCGAUCUUGAGUGCAGACAGGGAUGCCGGAAUUCGUGGUGUAGCGGUGAAAUGCUUAGAUAUCACGAAGAACUCCGAUCGCGAAGGCAGGUGUCCGGGCUGCAACUGACGCUGAGGCUCGAAAGUGUGGGUAUCAAACAGGAUUAGAUACCCUGGUAGUCCACACAGUAAACGAUGUAUACUCGCGGUUUGCGAUAGACAGUAAGCCGCCAAGCGAAAGCAUUAAGUAUACCACCUGGGGAGUACGCCGGCAACGGUGAAACUCAAAGGAAUUGACGGGGGCCCGCACAAGCGGAGGA